rnacentral:rRNA from 1 species
CGAUUAUGGCUCAGAUUGAACGCUGGCAGGAUGUACCUUCUGAAGUCGACAGCCUGGAACUGAUCUACAUUGCGCGCAGUGUGGCUGCGAUUUGAUAAUAUCAUCAGACGUACCUAGUAGCGGGGGAUAACUACGCGAAAGCGUAGCUAAUACCACAUACCCUUCGAGGGGAAAGCGGGGGACAACUACAGGAACCCUCGCCACUGCCGACAAUGACAUCCAGGUUAGCUCGUUUGGUGGUCGCGGCUCCCUGGGCGGUAAAUCCAAUAGCUGGAUUGAGAGGACGACAAGCCACUGGGACUGAGACACGGCCCAGACUCCUACGGAGGCAACUUCAGGUGAAGGUACGGACAAUGGAAGCUGGUCGGCCUAUCCGCGAUGUGCGGUGAAGGCCUUCCGGUUGCUGCUUUUCCGCUGCAUGAGAAAAACGGCACGGGAUAAUACCCCGAUGCAACUGACGGCCUGCAGAAUAAGCACCAAACUAACUACGUGCCAGCAGCCGCGUCAUGCGUAAGUGCAAGCGUGUCGGUCUGGGCGUAGCGUGCGCGGGCGGUUCGGAAAGAAGAUGUGAAAUCCCAUUAACUAGAACCGUUUUAACUACCGAGCUGGGGUGUGUCAGAGGAGGUGGAAUUCCGCGUAUGCAGCAGUGAAAUGCGUAAGAUAUGCGGAGGAACACCGUGGCGAAGGCAGCCUCCUGGGAUAAUACUGGCGCUCUUGUGCAGAGCAAGCAGGAUUAAUCACCUCGUAGUCCACUAAACGAUCCAACUAGCUAUUUGGGGCCUUCGGGCCUUGUGCGGCGCAGCUAACGCGUGAAGUUGACCGCCGCAAGGGAGUACGGUCGCAAGGAUUAAAACUCAAAAGGUCGGCGAAGUCCCGCACAAGCGGUGGAUGAUGUGGAUUAAUUCGAUCCAACGCGAAAACCGCCUACCCUUGACAUGUCUGGAAUCGAGAUUUGGGAGUGCUCGCAAGAGGGACUGGAACUGGUGCUGCAUGGCUGUCGUCCAGCUCGUGUGUGAGAUCAGCAGUUAAGUCACCAACGAGCGCAGCUUCCUUAUCCAUUAGUUGCUACGAAAGGGCACUCUAAUGAGACUGCCAUUAGCAAACCGGAGGAAAGACGAGGAUGACGAUAAGUCUCAUGGCACCCAUGGGUGAAGAACUACACGUCAUGCAAUGGUCAGGAUAAGGUCCGCCAACCACGAGGGCCAAUCCGAGCCCGAUCAAUAGUCCGGAUCGCAGUCUGCAACUCGACUGCGUGAAGUCGUCGCUAAUGCUGGAUUCCGCUGUAUCGCGGUGAAUACGUUCCCGGGUCUUGUAUACACCGCCCGUCACACCAUGGAGUGGGUUUUACCGAAGUAGUUAAUGGCCUAACCAUGGGCAAUUACACGGUAAGUUCAUGACUGGGGUGAAGUCGUAUAGCAAAGGUAG